CACCGCCGCCGCUGCCCAUUACUGCGGCUGAGCCGCUGCACUCUUUCGCCACAGCCGCUGCCUACCGCAGACCCACCACUGUUGAUCCCUCUCAGAGUUGUGCGCCCCUCACUCUUCCCUUCUCUCUCUCACUAUACUCUCUGCCCAUCACAGCCGCCGCUGCCCAUCUCCGUCGCCGAGCCGCCGCACUCUACCACAGCCGCCCAUAGCCGUCGUUUCCUAUCACCGCUUCCGAGCCGCCACACUCUGCCGCCGCCGCCGCCGCCGCACUCCACACAUUGCAAGUGGCUGGAAAUCAUAUUCAGAAGGGGGCACGAUUAGUAUACAACAUAGCCAUUAUCGACCACUAAUUUUUGGGAACUUGUUUGGAGAUCUAUAUGCGGGUGCAAUAUGGACAGCCACUGAAAAACCAUAAAAUGAUGGGAAUUUCAGCACUAACAGAAUUCCCUUCAGUUGUGCACAUGGUUCUCCUGUAAAAUGUGACACCAUACCUGGAAGCUCCCUUCCAGAUUUAGGCUACAUCUUUUCAUUUGGUGAAGGAAACAAGAAAGAUAUUUGUAUCCUUGCAAGCACUGGUGUUUACUGAGUUGUUCCUCCAAGUCGCUGCAGUUAUGCUUGCUCACUGGAAAAGGUCAGGCAACAUCAGCGCCGUGCCGUGCAGUGCGAGAUUUAAUGUUGAUGAGCACAAGAGCCAAGGCAAUGGUCUUAGCCUCACAAGCAAGCAAGUCUCUUCAGAGCCGAAGCUAAUAGAAUUGUGAAAUCACAUGUAUUUUUUUAGUUACCCUACAAUGUAUUAUUAACUUCUUUUGUAUAUAUAAAAGAUGUUUUUCGUUGGACAGGUUUUGAAUCUAAAAUAUCUCCUUUAACAAGUUGGAGAGAACAGAGCUUUGAAUUUGUGUCUUGUA